rnacentral:rRNA from 1 species
GACGAACGCUGGCGGCGUGCCUAAUACAUGCAAGUAGAACGCUGAAGGAGGAGCUUGCUUCUCUGGAUGAGUUGCGAACGGGUGAGUAACGCGUAGGUAACCUGCCUGGUAGCGGGGGAUAACUAUUGGAAACGAUAGCUAAUACCGCAUAACAGUAGAUAUCGCAUGAUAUCUACUUGAAAGGUGCAAUUGCAUCACUACCAGAUGGCCCUGCGUUGUAUUAGCUAGUUGGUGAGGUAACGGCUCACCAAGGCGACGAUACAUAGCCGACCUGAGAGGGUGAUCGGCCACACUGGGACUGAGACACGGCCCAGACUCCUACGGGAGGCAGCAGUAGGGAAUCUUCGGCAAUGGACGGAAGUCUGACCGAGCAACGCCGCGUGAGUGAAGAAGGUUGUCGGAUCGUAAAGCUCUGUUGUAAGAGAAGAACGAGUGUGAGAGUGGAAAGUUCACACUGUGACGGUAGCUUACCAGAAAGGGACGGCUAACUACGUG